UGCUUAACACAUGCAAGUCGCACGGGCAGUAGCAAUACUGUCAGUGGCGGACGGGUGAGUAACGCGUAGGAAUCUAUCCUUGAAUGGGGGACAACCGGUGGGAAACUACGGCUAAUACCGCAUGAUGCCUGAGGGCCAAAGACGAAAGUCGUUUGAGGAGGAGCCUGCGUCUGAUUAGGUAGUUGGUGGGGUAAAGGCCUACCAAGCCUACGAUCAGUAGCUGGUCUGAGAGGAUGAUCAGCCACACUGGGACUGAGACACGGCCCAGACUCCUACGGGAGGCAGCAGUGGGGAAUAUUGGACAAUGGGCGCAAGCCUGAUCCAGCAAUGCCGCGUGGGUGAAGAAGGUCUUCGGAUUGUAAAGCCCUUUUGGCAGGGACGAUGAUGACGGUACCUGCAGAAUAAGCUCCGGCUAACUUCGUG
rnacentral:rRNA from 1 species